rnacentral:rRNA from 1 species
ACGCUGGCGGCGUGCCUAACACAUGCAAGUCGAGCGAGGAGAUUCCUUCGGGAUGAUCCUAGCGGCGACGGGUGAGUAACACGUGGGCAACCUGCCUCAUAGAGAGGAAUAGCCUUCCGAAAGGGAGAUUAAUACCUCAUAACAUUGCAGUUUCGCAUGGAACAGCAAUUAAAGGAGUAAUCCGCUAUGAGAUGGGCCCGCGGCGCAUUAGCUAGUUGGUGAGGUAACGGCUCACCAAGGCGACGAUGCGUAGCCGACCUGAGAGGGUGAUCGGCCACAUUGGGACUGAGACACGGCCCAGACUCCUACGGGAGGCAGCAGUGGGGAAUAUUGCACAAUGGGGGAAACCCUGAUGCCAGCAACGCCGCGUGAGUGAUGACGGCCUUCGGGUUGUAAAGCUCUGUCUUCAGGGACGAUAAUGACGGUACCUGAGGAGGAAGCCACGGCUAACUACGUGCCAGCCGCCGC